UACGAGGGGGGCGAGCGUUGUUCGGAAUUAUUGGGCGUAAAGGGUGCGUAGGCGGUUCCGCAAGUCCUGUGUGAAAUCUUCGGGCUCAACUCGAAGUCUGCACGGGAAACUGCCGGGCUGGAGUGUGGGAGAGGUGAGUGGAAUUCCUGGUGUAGCGGUGAAAUGCGUAGAUAUCAGGAGGAACACCUGUGGCGAAAGCGGCUCACUGGACCAUAACUGACGCUGAUGCACGAAAGCUAGGGGAGCAAACAGG
rnacentral:rRNA from 1 species